rnacentral:rRNA from 1 species
GAUGAACGCUAGCGGCAGGCUUAAUACAUGCAAGUCGAGGGACAGCACAGGUAGCAAUACUGGGUGGUAACCGGCAAACGGGUGCGGAACACGUACACAACCUUCCUUUAAGUGGGGGAUAGCCCAGAGAAAUUUGGAUUAAUACCCCGUAAUAUAGUUGAAUGGCAUCAUUUGAUUAUUAUAGCUACGGCGCUUAAUGAUGGGUGUGCGGCUGAUUAGAUAGUUGGCGGGGUAACGGCCCACCAAGUCUACGAUCAGUAGCUGAUGUGAGAGCAUGAUCAGCCACACGGGCACUGAGGCACGGGCCCGACUCCCACGGGAGGCAGCAGUAAGGAAAUUUGGUCAAUGGACGCAAGUCUGAACCAGCCAUGCCGCGUGAAGGAUUAAGGUCCUCUGGAUUGUAAACUUCUUUUAUUUGGGACGAAAAAGGGCCUUUCUAGGUCAACUGACGGUACCAGAUGAAUAAGCACCGGCUAACUCCGUGCCAGCCGCCGCCGUAAUAC